rnacentral:rRNA from 1 species
UACAGAGGGGGCAAGCGUUAUUCGGAAUUAUUGGGCGUAAAGCGCGCGCAGGCGGUCUUUUAAGUCUGAUGUGAAAGCCCUCGGCUCAACCGAGGAGGGUCAUUGGAAACUGGGAGACUUGAGUGCAGAAGAGGAAAGUGGAAUUCCGAGUGUAGAGGUGAAAUUCGUAGAUAUUCGGAAGAACACCAGUGGCGAAGGCGACUUACUGGACACAUACUGACGCUGAGGUGCGAAAGCGUGGGGAGCAAACGGG